UACGGAAGGCAGCAGUGGGGAAUAUUGCACAAUGGGCGAAAGCCUGAUGCAGCUAUGCCGCGUGUAUGAAGAAGGCCUUAGGGUUGUAAAGUACUUUCAUCGGGGAGGAAAAACAAAACUAAUAAUUUUAUUUCUUGACGUUACCCGAAAAAGAAGCACCGGCUAACUCCGUGCCAGCAGCCGCGGUAAUACGGAGGGUGCUAGCGUUAAUCAGAAUUACUGGGCGUAAAGAGCACGUAGGUGGUUUUUUUAAGUCAGAUGUGAAAUCCCUGGACUUAACCUAGGAACUGCAUUUUGAAACUGAAAUACUAGAGUAUCGUAGAGGGAGGUAGAAUUCUAGGUGUAGCGGUGAAAUGCGUAGAUAUCUGGAGGAAUACCUGUGGCGAAAGCGGCCUCCUAAACGAAUACUGACACUGAGGUGCGAAAGCGUGGGGAGCAAACAGGGAUUAGAUACC
rnacentral:rRNA from 1 species